AGAUUCCCCCAGUAGCGGCGAGCGAACGGGGAGCAGCCCAGAGCCUGAAUCAGUGUGUGUGUUAGUGGAAGCGUCUGGAAAGGCGUGCGAUACAGGGUGACAGCCCCGUACACAAAAAUGCACAUGCUGUGAGCUCGAUGAGUAGGGCGGGACACGUGGUAUCCUGUCUGAAUAUGGGGGGACCAUCCUCCAAGGCUAAAUACUCCUGACUGACCGAUAGUGAACCAGUACCGUGAGGGAAAGGCGAAAAGAACCCCGGCGAGGGGAGUGAAAAAGAACCUGAAACCGUGUACGUACA
rnacentral:rRNA from 1 species